AGUUUUGAGUUUUUGGUUGACUGACAGUUAAGCUGAUAAGAAUAAUAAAAGAGCAUAUUUAGCAUAUAUUGAGGAAAACUUAAAUGAAAAAUGGAUACAUGAGCAGUUAUCUUAUAGAUAUUUAUCCAAUGUUGUGUUAGAAUAACCAAUAUGGCUGUGUACGCGGCUCACUUAACGCGAACUUUACAAGGCACCCCAUCAGUGUUCCAAGUAGCUGCUCAGGAGGCCCUUGGAGGAACAGUUAAACCAGCUUUACGGAAACUAGUGGAGUAUGUGGCGGCUGUGUAUCCAAAUAAAUGUGGGUGGUGUGAGAGAUGGUAUGAUGAGCUAUACUUGUUAUUGGACUGCACCCUGCAAUAUCACUACCUCAAACAUUAUGCUGCAUCAUUCUCAGAAUGCUUCUAUGGUUUGUUCCGAGUGCCAAUUUCCCCCAGCACAGAGUUCAGUUCAGGACCUCGACUGCCCCAGAACCUCGAGCGGGGGUCACUAGUGCUGCUCGUGCUGGUACCAUAUAUCCGGGAGAAAGUGGAGAAGAUUGUGGAUAAGUGGAGAGAGGAUUUGGAAGAUGGAAGAUUUGAGCGGAGCCGACCGCGCCCGCAGAGCCGCCGUCCGCGUGUGGAGCGCGGUGCACUUGGCGAGCGAGGCGGGCAAGCUGGCGGUGCUGGCGCGCUACGUGAGCGGGCGGGCCCGCGCGCCGACGCCGGCGCUGCAGCUGCUCGGCCUCGCGCUGCGGGACGCGCCCGCCGACCCGCCCGACGACACCUGGGCCGACCUCUUCCGGGCCGUCUCGGCCGGACACUUCGCGAGCGCGGUGGUCACGUUCCCCAUGCUGUGGCGCGCGUGCAGCGCCCUCGCGCAGCACGGGGCCUUCGCCGUGCAGCUGCUGCGCUGGUGGGACGCGCGCCGCCCGCUCGCGCUCUCCCACCUGCCCGUGCCGCCGCCGCCGCAGCGCGCGGAGGCCCCGGCGCCCAACGUGUGUCCGCUGUGCCGCCAGCGCUGGCGCGUGCCCGCCGUGCUGCCGGUCUCCGGCUUCGUGUUCUGCUACGCGUGCGCGCGGCGGCACGUGCGCGCGGCGGGCGCGUGCCCCGUGACGCGCGCGCCCGCCGCGCCCGCCGACCUGCGCCGCCUCUACCUCGACGGGUAGGCCGCACUACCACUGGAGAUUCGUGCGACCACUACAGUGACUACUGUUCACUGGAGAGGUUCAGCUUUCAUCCAGAAAAUCGACUGACUCUAUUGACUUGAACUAAAAUCGCUGUGUAAGUCUUCUCUUCGAAACGUCGGCGAGAUGUGAGAGACAAGUGAUGCCAUCUAGUGAUCAUUUGGCACGACUGAAAUCCAUCAAACUAAGAAUUGAAUUGAACUUUUCAAAUAUAAAAAAAAAUAGAUUUUUUAAUUAAAAUUUGUACCGAACAAAUCAAUCCUUAUUUCCAAAGUCUGCAAAAGUUCAGCUCAAUCGGAUGAAUUAAAACAUAGCUACGGGAUUUGACAUAAAUAGAAAACUAGAAACGAUAAUUAAACGUAUUAUUUUUUUUUUUAUUAUAUCUCAGAUUGUAAAACAGAUGGCAAAUGGAGCGCGCAGAACAUAAAGGGAAACAACAAAAGCGAAUAAAUUAAUACGUCAAAUGCUGUCAAUGUCAAUUUUAUUAUUGACUUGAUUGAUUGAAUUUUAGUAUUAAACAGCAUUGCAUAACUAUCGAUAGUUGACCUCGAAAACUAUUACUAGUACUAUCGAUAGUCUAUCGACAGUGGACUAGCGAUAUGCAACACUAGUUUUAACAAAAAUACGUGUUUUUUGCAGUGCUGGGGUCAUUAAUUCUUAUGCUCUUUUAAUUGUGUAUUUGCCUUUGUUCCACGCGCUCCAACUACAUAUUGUUUUAAAGUCUAAGGUGUAUAUGUCGAAUGUCGAAGCUUUAUACAAACCUACUAUUAUAUUAACACAAAAUUCCUGGUCAUUGACCUUAAGAACUUUCAUAGAUUCAUUUGGUUAUAUAAUAAAAGGUGACAGAGUUUUUUUUGUGUAAAUAUUGUAUUAUAUAAAAAUAUAAGUUACACAUGUCUGUAAAUAUAUUUAUUUAUAUUUCGGGGUAUUUAUGGAAAAGACGAACUAAAAAUAUAAUGUGUUCCAAGAGGGCUGUGGUCUUAAUGUUUAAUGGUUUAUAAAUGUUGUUAUUAAACAUGUUAAA